GGACAUUUUGAAAGUCAUAGUACAGACACAUCUAGGUAGUUAAUACAGACAAAGACGAAUCACAUAAGAAAUACAAUCAAUUUACUUUUGAUCAACGGCUGCAUUUAACUUUAGAAUGACCUUUUGCCCUGAUUUUACAAACGUUUAGGUAUUGCCGGACUUCGUAUAUGCAAAAUAUAUCAAGGAUCAAACUAAAGGACAGAUUCCAACCUCCCUCUCUCUCUCUCUCUCUCCUCACAAUUGUCUUUGUUUUGUUUAGGUUUCUAUACAGCGCGUUUUCUCUUCGAUCUUUUGCUUCUUCUUUGGCCAACACCAGGCAAUGGCUUGCUUGUGCUCGAAGCUAACGCUCCUUCACGAACCUCUUCCUCCUGUUCCAACAUACUUACUCAUAAGUUCUUUAACGUAAUCAUGUAAUUAUUUACUUGAUCGAGUUGUAGUUUAGGAGACUAUUACCUCAUCAUCGGACCCUUCUUCUGAUUCAGACUGAGAUUCUAGCAGUUCAACUGUAUCUUUUGCAACCGCCUUGUUCUUUUUGCUGCGCUUCUCUUGCUCCUUUAACUGUCUAAAUCUGUUGUAGUAGUCCAAUAUAAAAUUAUCUUUUUCGACAUAUACUCGUAAGAAAAAAAUGUUUGAAAUCAGUGAUAAUAAAGAGAUACACUUACCUUUCGCCAGCAUCAUCAGGCUGAGCAAUAGAUCUCUUUGCCCGUCCCGCGGUUAUUAUUCCGCUUGCGUUUUCAUUGACUGCAGGCGCUGCCCCGCCUAGUUUACGCAGCCAAACUUGUUGGGCGGUGCUAAGUACAUUGUUUGUGAACCUAACAUACAAUUGCAAGGUUAAAACGUUAAGCAUCAAAUCUGAACAGUAAGUAUAUCAACUAUAAAUCUAACUUUGUUUCGUUAUUCCAAGAACAAGCUUCGUAUUACUGGGAAUCCUCAUAUAUCUUAUAUACAUUCUGAGAAUGAAGCCAUCUAGGUGUGCCAUCUUAGAUAAACUUAUACUGAAUGUGCUCUCAUACAUAGAUGAAAAUUGAGCAAAGGUGUGAGAAACCAACCAGUAGAUAGAUAAUCCUGAUGGGACAGACAAUGCAAAGUAGCCAAUCAUGAGUGGAAGAAACUUGAAAACAAGAAGUGUGUUCUUCUGCGCAGGAUCGUCUGUCUGCCCAAAAUAAAAUAAAAUUGAGCUUAGAACUUUCACAAUCAUACUUUUAGUGAUAAGAAUUUUUAAAAAUAAGAAGCUUUUGUUAUGUCUCUCACUUGAGGAGGCUUCAUAAUCUCCAUCGACACAUACUGGGAGACAAUAAGGAGAACAGGCAAAACAAGAUACGCAGCGGUGUCGCCCCAGCCCAAUGGUGGAUGCCCGUCCUGCACCACCAAACGGCAUCAGACUAGGAAAACUGUAUUCAUGCAUAUGUUUACAACAAAAAGUUAAAAAAUUUCUUUCUCUCUCUCAUUACCACAAAAGGGAAAAGCCAUGAAACGCCAGAUCCACUCUGUCGAGCAGCUAUACUUGUUGGUCCACCAAGAGAUGGAAUCCAAAAGAAACCUUCUGUAAAUAGUCCCUGCAAGUCAAACCUUUUUAUCAGCAAAAAAAAACAUAAACAAAACCCACCAGCUAACUUAACGAACCUCGUUGGCCACGUUGGAGAGAGCUUGGUAUAAACCAAUCCAAACUGGUAUGGUAGCUAAAGUUGGCAAGCAACCUAACAUCAAAACAAACAAGAAAUCGUAUAUAAUAAAACACACUUUCGAAGAAUAACAAAUUACAAUACAACCACCAUUACUAGUAACAAGUACCUGCCAAUGGAUUGACACCAGCUUGUUUAUACAAGCGUGACGUCUCUAGUUGUAUUCUCUCCUACAUAUACACCCAAAAAAAAAAAAAACAGUUACAAAAGAGUCAAGACUUAAUCAUCCUCACACUAAACUCAAUUCUUUUAAGCCACAAAAGAUCCACCUGAUUGCCUGCGUAACGUUGUUGAAUGGCUUUAAUCUUCGGUUGAAGAUUUUGCAUCGCCAUGGUUGAUUCAACCUACAGAAUGAACUCUAUUCAGCAAAAUGCUUUCAAAAUAACGAAAAAUCCACUUAUCCUCAAUUGAUUUUAAGCUGAAAAAACUCAGUAAUAAACCCAAAUUUAAUAUAAUAUCAUAACCGCUACCAUCCAGGUUGUUCCCACGGUUGCCCACACUACUGACGGAGAAGUUUAUUAAUGAAAAAUCAAUUGGUUUCUCAUAAUAAACCCGAAUUUAACAUAAAUAACAGAACCGCCUCGACGAUGAUCAAAUGUAAUCAAUCACCUGUUGCUUAGUCAAAGGGUAGGUGGCCGCCUUGACGAUGAUAGUAAGCAAGAUAAUCGCGAAUCCGUAAGCGUAGGGCACAUGAACCGCCGUGAGUCCAUCCUUCAAAAACUAAACAAUCCAAAAACAGAGAUACUACUGUUAAAAAUCUCCGAAUCGUAAACAGAUAUUGGAAUCAGCUCUGCUUUAAAAACUCACCUUGAGCACCAGCUCCAUGCCAUCGGAGAUGAAUCCGAACCAACCGCCACUCUUCUGCACGGCGGGAUCAGUCGAUACAGCUGAAUCGGCGGCGCCGCCGACGACGGCUGUGUAGGUGAACGUGACUUUGCAACGGGUAUAUAUAUGUAUAGAGCUGUGCAUAAGAUUAUGNNNNNNNNNNNNNNNNNNNNNNNNNNNNNNNNNNNNNNNNNNNNNNNNNNNNNNNNNNNNNNNNNNNNNNNNNNNNNNNNNNNNNNNNNNNNNNNNNNNNNNNNNNNNNNNNNNNNNNNNNNNNNNNNNNNNNNNNNNNNNNNNNNNNNNNNNNNNNNNNNNNNNNNNNNNNNNNNNNNNNNNNNNNNNNNNNNNNNNNNNNNNNNNNNNNNNNNNNNNNNNNNNNNNNNNNNNNNNNNNNNNNNNNNNNNNNNNNNNNNNNNNNNNNNNNNNNNNNNNNNNNNNNNNNNNNNNNNNNNNNNNNNNNNNNNNNNNNNNNNNNNNNNNNNNNNNNNNNNNNNNNNNNNNNNNNNNNNNNNNNNNNNNNNNNNNNNNNNNNNNNNNNNNNNNNNNNNNNNNNNNNNNNNNNNNNNNNNNNNNNNNNNNNNNNNNNNNNNNNNNNNNNNNNNNNNNNNNNNNNNNNNNNNNNNNNNNNNNNNNNNNNNNNNNNNNNNNNNNNNNNNNNNNNNNNNNNNNNNNNNNNNNNNNNNNNNNNNNNNNNNNNNNNNNNNNNNNNNNNNNNNNNNNNNNNNNNNNNNNNNNNNNNNNNNNNNNNNNNNNNNNNNNNUUUUUUUUUUGGUCUAAAUGUUAAGAUUUAUACCACUUUUUUAGAGUUUACAAUGUUGUGAAACACAACUUAUUACAAGAAAGGAAAAAGGGAGCAAGAGAGAGCAAUAGAGAGCAUUAAAAAGAGAGCAAUUUAACUAUAAGGGGAAAUAAACCAAAAGUAGAGCUCCAACAAAGAAGGCAGGGGAGCAGAUGAUGCAGGCCGGAUCAAGGACAGCAGUCUGUCACGCAUCGCCCGGUCCACCACUCGGAAGAACGCUUCUUCAGUUGUUGACACUCCUGUGAAGAUGCGGGUAUUCCUCUCACGCCAUACGUUGUAAAUGAUAACUUGGUUGAGAAGCUUGAGCACUGUCACUGCCCGCGAGGCAUGAGGUCCAGGUAGCCGCUGGCAGAUGAGCACAACUUCAGUGAGUGAGGCGGGGGCCAAGGCCAAGUACCUGCCACAGAAACGAGACCAAGUAGUAAGCACAAAUGGACAUUGAAAAUACAAAUGGCUUAUAGACUCAUCAGCUAUGGAGCAGAGUGCACAACCUGGAGGGACAGUUAGACCCCAUGAAAUCAAACGAUCACGCGUUGGCAGCCUUCCAAGGAACGCCAUCCAAGCGAUGAAUGAACAACGAGGGAUUUCCUCUUUGAACCAAGCCACUGAAUGCCACUGAACAAGAGGUCUAGGGAGUCGAAUCCUUUCCCAAGUCACCCUAGAGGAGAAAGAAGGACCAAAUCCCCCAGAGUUGCUUCUCCAUAGAUAAGUAUCCCCACCGUUAGUCGCAGAUGGAACUGACGUUGUCGCUAGGAUGAUCUGAAGCGUAACAUCAAGUUCUGAACGCGCCGAAGGGAGAUUCCAAUGACCGUUGUCGACUGCUUGAGAGACAGUGGCAGAAAGAGGUAUACGAAGAGAACGUGGACCCGUGGAGCCGUAGAGAAGGUGUAGCGGACCCAACUCUGUCCAAUAAUCAUGCCAAAACAAGGCAGAGUCACCAUCCCCGACGUUACAUCUAAGGAAGUUAUGAAGCUGAUCCUUGAGUUGGAGCAUACUCCUCACCGUACUUGAAAAACGUGGCGCAUCAUUUAUAAGCCAGAGACUCCGUCCAUUGAAUCUAUUUUGGGUUAACCAGGGGACCCAAAGAGAGCCAGAGCCAUAGAAGAAUAGCCACAGUCUCUUCAACCUAAAUACCAUCUCAAAGUCUUCAAGCAAUCUUAUACCCAGCCCACCCUCCUUUUUGGGAGUGCAUAUAUGCUUCCAAGAGACCCUUGCCCCAGCAGCGGAAGUUGUGCUGUUCUUCCAAAGAAAACCCGAGCAUAACGAGUCUACCUUAGCAUAGAACCACUUAGGCAACACAAACACCGAGCUCCAGAAGUUUACCAUACCAUAAAUCACGGAGGAGAUCAUCGUUACCUUCCCAGCAAAAGAUAAAAAUUUGACAGUCCAGGAACGCAGCUUAGAUGUUAUACGGUUAAGGAAAGGCUGAAGCAUGGCUGCAGAGAUUUUUUUUGGGCUUAAAGGCAACCCAAGAUAUCUAGUAGGAAAUUCUCCUCGUCGAAAACCAGAAAGUUGACUCAGUUCCAAGACUUGAACGUGUGUGUAACCCCCAUAAAAAAUCUCUGACUUGGCUUGAUUAGUAUCCAGACCAGACCACUCCUUGAAUUGAUUCAUAACCCCUUUGAUUCCAUCAGUAGAUACCCGUGACCCAUCAGAAAAGACUAAUAAGUCAUCAGCGAACAGAAGAUGAGUGAGCUUAGGGGAAGCACACAAAGGAUGUAAACUGUAAGAACCAUCAGCUUCCGCUUUGUCUAGUAGCCGGGAGAGAACCUCCAUGAGCAUAAUGAAGAGAUAGGGAGAUAUUGAAUCACCUUGACGGAGGCCCUUCUUUCCUUCAAAGAAACCAGCAAGUUCCCCAUUAAUAGCCACUGAGAAUCGCGGCGAGGAGAUACAUUCUGUUAUCCAGGUGAUGAACAUUGGAGGAAACUGUUGAGCCUGCAGAACUUUUAUCACAAAGUCCCAACAUACCGUAUUAAAAGCUUUGCGAAUGUCAAUCUUAAUCAUAGCACUCCUCAGACAAGAAGAUUUGUUGUAGUCCUUGAUAAGCUCUGUUGCAAGCAAAACAUUUUCUCCUAGACUGCGCCCUUUUAAGAACGCCGCUUGGUUAGGACUAACGCAUUCUGUCAAAAUAGGCUUGAGGCGAUUUGCGAUGAUCUUAGAGAUAAGCUUGUAGACUACGUUGCAGCAGCUGAUAGGGCGAUAAUCAGUGAGAGAACAAGCUUCCGGAUUCUUGGGAAUAAGGGCGAUGGCAGUAGUAUUCAUGUCCUUGAGAAGUUUGCCAUUGCGGAAGAACUCUCUUACAGCACAAAUGAUGUCUUGUCCAACUAUAUCCCAUGAAGCUCUAAGAAACUCAACGGAGUAUCCAUCGGGCCCUGGACUCUUAUUUAGUGGCAUUGCAAACAUAGUAGCUCUGAUCUCAGCUUCAGUGACUUCACGUUUUAAAUAAUUUUGCUGGAGCUCCGUACAUCGAAAGGGGAGUAAUGACUGCAAGUCCUCGGGAGAGACCGGAGAAAAGGGAAGGUCCGUAGAGCCUAAGAUCCCCUGAAAGUAAUCAGCGGCAUGAGACUUGAUCUCCUCAUACGAGUACAAUGUCUGAUCAGUGGCAUCUUUGAGGUAGUGUAUAUGAUUCCUGGAGGCAUGAGCAGACACAGUCUUGUGAUAGAAUGGAGUAUUGCGAUCCCCGACAUCAGCCCAACGAACCCUUGAUUUCUGUCUGUAGAACUUUUCUUCCGCCUUAAGUAGCACAUUCAAUUUAUCCCUCUCGACAUGCUCCUCCUGAGCAGUUGGAGUAUCCGGCGAAGUAAGCAGAGCUCUCUGGAGAGUGUCAACCUUCUCUUUCUGAUUCUUAACCCUCUGGGAUAUACCACUGAAGUGUGUUUUGUUUAAGCGUCGCAAUGGUCUCUUCAGUAGCUUAAGGGAACGGACGAGCUUAAACUGAGCAGUACCUGUGAUCAAGGCUGUGCUCCAAGCUUCUCUUACUGUCUCUGUAUACUCAGGGUGAUCAGUAACAUGAUGAAAAAAUUUAAAAGGUUUGGUAACCUGACGUUGAAGAGAAGGCAACCGGAACAGACAAGGAGCAUGAUCAGAUUGGCAAGGAUCCAGAAAUUCCGCAUACGAGUCAGGAAAGGACGAUGACCAUGCUUGAUUAAUAAAGGCAUGAUCAAUUCUUGUUGAUAUAGGACUAGCAUCCUGACUGUUUCUCCAUGUGAAAGGUAAACCCUUAGCCUGUGCCUCAAACAGCUGAGCGUCCUCAUCUCUCUUACUUUUGUUUUGUUAGGUCAAUUCUUCGAAAUCUAAAAGCUUCUAAUAAACUUAUUUUAUUUCGUUGGUAUUUCUCUUAAUGGUAUUUCGUGGAACAACAAUCCCUAUCUACAAAAAUUAACAAGUUUAUCUACUCAUCGUUGGAGUAAUUUGAACUCCAUAACAAUAAAAUAUGAUGUAUUUAAUUGCAAGUGAACAAGAUUGAAUUUUGACAAAUUAUUUGGACGAUUUUUUAUUUAGUUGUUAUGGGACGAGUAUGUUUUUUCUACAGUUUGUUAUUUUCUUACGUAAACAUUUAUUACUAAUUUGUGUUUUUAUAUAGUUUUUUUUGUCCGUUGUAUUUUUUUAUAUAGUUAACCUAUAGAUUUUAAAUAAAUAUUGCAGAAUGCAUGAUUUUUGUAUCUUGCUAUUUUUAUGUAGACAUUUACUUUAUUGAUGGCUUUAUAUUUCCGUAAACGUGUGAAUUAUUAUUUUUGAAACUUAUCAUAAAAUACUAUAUACGAAUGUAUUUGAAAAAUGAUCAUAUUUAUUAAAUAUUAUUCAAAAACUAGCGCUACACUUUCAUCCAUAUUGCUGGGGUAUUUUCUGGAUAUGGUAGGAGACAUUUCAAAGGAUAAGAAACUAUUUGAAGCAAUGCAAUCUGAUCUGAAAAAUGUCUUUUUUAGGUAAAAGAUAGAAUUCCCUGAUUAACAACAAUAAAUAUAAAAUAAUAAAUAUAGUCGAUAAACAUAAAUAUUAUAAACUAAUAACUUAAUAUAAAUAAAACUAUAACCAUUUCUUGAAAUUUGAUUGGAAAUUCCUAACUUGGAUUACACCAGUUAUGCGAGCUAAAUAAAAAAACAGAAGUUCUCCUAAACGCACAACAGCUUAGUUAUGAAAUAUAUUUACAUAUAUACAUCUAACAUCUUGGUUAAGAUAUAUGAUAAAAUUUAAUUAUUUAAAGCAUCGUAUUAUGUCGUGACCAAAAUAUUGUUUGGAUCCCUGAUAAUAUGACCCAUUAAAAAAAUGUUAUGGCGCAUAUAAAAACUACUCCAAGAGGCAAGGCUAUUUGGCAUGACCAAAUGCUCUUUCAAGGUUAUUUCGAAGACAAAAUUGCGUCCUGAUUUAUAAAAUUACAGAAUUCGGAAAUUAUUUACAAAAUAUUCCAAGAAGAUACAGAGCUGAGAAAACCUUUAGCUUUAAAAAAAGAAAAAAAACUAAAGCUUUUUGUAUGCCUUUCAUGUUAGGUGGUUCUCUUCUCGGUUGCAAAUGAAACGAAGAAUAACACGUAAUCGGAAGCCCAGUUUGAAGAAACCGAAUAUUUCGUUUGGGCUAAAUGCUGAAUUGACCUUUAUGGAUCAUGAAUUGAAAUGUUUUUUGAGCUAACCCUUAUUUUACAUAACUUUUCUUUUUAAUAAAAAGGGACAUUAAUCUAACUAUUAUGCUUUUAACCAUCAACUUAUAAAAUACUAUUAAAUUAAAUAAUAAAAAUAAAAAGAAGAAAUUAACUCUUCAGACUUAUCAUGUGGUGGUGAGGGAUUACUCUCUACUGAUUACUGAACAUCAUUGUCCUAAAAUAUAUGUUUGUGUCUUUUCAUGAUUAAUUGAUUCCACACAAUAUUCCUUUAUGUCUCCGAGUUAAAACCCUUAGACCGAUGAUGUGUUGGUACGUGAUGCUGCAAUAAUUUCCGAUAAUUGUGCCUUUUCAUAGAGUAUGCAUUUUUUUUCCCGCAAUCUUUAGAACUUCAUUAAGAUCUUGAUAUCAAUGUUACCAAAUAUUUAUUAUUUUUAAUUUUCAUCUUUUUCACUGAAUAUGCUUUCAAAGAUUAACAAAGCAUCAAUUACAAUAAAAACCUGCUAUCACCAACUAUACCUGAUAUCAAGCUUAACUGCGAGAUUUUGACCAUGUCUACUUUGUGUGAACUUGAACCCGUUGCUUGACGUUUCUUGACUUUUGUAUCAUACUAAAUUUGGAUCUAAAUUUCUGAGCCUAAAUUUAAACCUCAACAUAAAUAAAUAAUUGAGUAUUUGUACUUACUACACACAACUUUCCUCAUAUUUGCACUCUAUACUCUAUUUCCCUUCAAUUUUUUUUCUCCCAACACUACCAUUUUCCCCCAUUUCAAUGGUAUCCCACUUUUUUCAGUAUAUUAAGCUAAUUUGCUGUAAAUAAUUUUGGCAAAUACAAAUUUAUUGUCUGUUCUCGUUGAUCGAUUCGGAUAUAUUCUGUGUUGAGAUGAAAAAUAAACAUGAAACUUUUCCAAAAAAAUACUUAUUUUCUUAAUAGCACAACGGUUUUAAAAGAGACAAUGUUUAACAAAUUAUGGCAACUUUACAAAACGAAUCUUUUUAGUGAAAAAGAACUUCGUAAAACAAAGUUAAAAUUAGGGGAAAAUUACUUAGGAGCUCAUUUAGAAAUGUUUCAUGUGUCAUUAACUAUAACAACAAUUACUUACUCCCCAUGUUUUUAAAAGAUGUAUGUUUAUGCAAAACGAAUCUUUUUAGUGAAAAAGAACUUUGUAAACAAAGUUAAAAUUAGGGGGAAAAGUUACUUAGGAGCUGAUUUAGAAAUGUUUCAUGUGUCAUUAACUAUAACAACAAUUAUUUACUCUCCAUAUUUUUAAAAGAUGUAUAUUUAUGUGUUUGUACACAUUAAAAACAUAAAUUUUGAUAAUAAGUUUAUUUUUUUAUAAAUAUCAUUUUCCCAUAAUUUUAAAUCUAUAAUAUUUAAAAGUUUUUUUUGAAGUUUACAAUUUAUCAUAUUAACUAAUAAAAAUGCAUUAAAAUACAUUUUUAAAAAAAUUUAUCUUUUAAAAUCAGAUGGAAUAAAAAGGAAGCACUCCUUUUUAGCACUUUUUAUUAUCUUCACAAACAUAAAAACAGUAGAGGCACCUGACUCCCACCAUCAUAUUUCCGUCCGCCAUAGCUAAAGUUACUUUUUAUUCAUGUUUUUCUUAAUAGGAUUUUUACUAAUAAAAGUGCUAGUUGUAGACUUUCGUUUGUGAGUUUAUGCUUUAAAUGGGUUAGUGUUAUUAUCUCAAAAUGUACGUAUAUGAAGAAUGUUUAAUACAAUAACUCUGACCUAUCCACUAUUAUAUUAUUUUUUAUUAAGCACUCCUUAUAAGUACUGGGGUUAAAGAUGUCUUUAGUGUGUUGAGAUCAUCGUUAAUGUAUUUUCCUAUUUUUUCCUCUAAAAUAAGAAAUUCUAUAAUAGAGAUGAAUUUGUUUCCAACGUAUUCCUCAUUCUUUUUCUUUAAAAAUUAAUAUUCUUGAUAUAUAUUUUUUAUAAUUUUACAAAUAAUAUCUUUCAUUUGUAAAAGUUAAAAAUCAACCCAAUUUAGUUUAACAUUCAUAAAAUUAUGAUAUUAUUUACACUGAAUAUUUUUAUAGAAACUGUUAUGUAAAUAAAAAGUAUGAUUAUAUUUUUAUAUAAACGGUAUAUUUUCACUAAAAAAUAUUUGUUUUGCUUACAAUUGUUAAAGUAAAAAGUUAAAGGAUCAUUUUGUGAAUAAAAAGGUAUGCUUAUAUUAUAGAGGAAUGCUAUUUUUUCCUUUAAAUAUAGAUGUAAAAAUAAUAAUUUCUAUUUUAGAAAAAAAAAUAGAUAGGGUUGAAGUGAUUUUACCUCUAAAUAUUAUUAUAGAGGCAAAUAUAGAGGUGGCCUGAGAUGAUCUAAAGUAGCUAAUCUUGUGGUAAAUAUGAUGUUCAACAAUAAUUUUUCUUUUUGGAAAUUUAUCAAAAAAUAGCUUUUGGACCGUUCAGAUUUACUGGUAAUUUCGCACAAAGUACAAAAUAGCUUCUGGACCGUUCAGACUUCAGAUUUUGAAAUCUUGCUCAGUUUUUUUUUGGUGCUAAAAAUAUUUCUUGAUAACCCGAGAUAGUUAAUAAAUUGUUUACAUUUCACUUCCAUUUUAAAUACGAGUAAACUCGUGAAAGAAAAUAUCGUACAGACGAGCACAAAUAAUAGGUGAAAUAACAAGACACUGUCAGCCUGUUCCGCAUGCAUGCCUCGAAUAAAACAAUGUACUUUUUUUUGGUGUUAUUAUUGAAAAUAGUUUAUUCUUAAACCAAAACGUAAGUUUUUAGUUUUUCCAUCAAGAUAAAAAGAGAACCAAACUCACAAGAGGCAAUCUAAAAGAUAUUACUCCACAUUAUUUCAUGGUUGCACUAUAUAAUUUGAACAACUAUAUAACAGAACCGGGAAAAAGCAAACUAAAACCAUUCCAACCAAACCAAACCAAACAGAAGGAUAAGAGAUCGGUGCAAUAUUACGAUUACAACCGUAGAACAAGCCGAACACGAGAUACACAUUAGUGGCAGAAGAUGACUUUGAGCUCUCUAGGAGAAGAACAGUCAUGCAUAAGCGAAGGACUAUCAUGAGCAAAAGUCAUAGUCGAAGGACACGCGUGCUUAAAGAACAGAGAGUGACUCGAAGCUCGACACGUCUGAGGACUAUUGUAAUGAUUCCUACAACACAACUCAUCCGUACGGAACGCCUCACACCCACUCUUACAAGCCACCACGUGUCCACCGUGUGACCGGAGCUGAAGAUGAGCUGGACACGUUUUCAAGAGGUCUUCGCGACAACCUACGACGGGACAAACACCACGGCCUUCGUGAGGAGUCACAGUCAUCGGAACGUUGAAACCGUCGACGAGAGAGACACCGUAGGAGGAUAAAUCUUGGUGUCCACCGUGGUGGAGAUCGAACUGAGCGAGAGAAGCAGGAGUUGCGCCCCCGAGACCGUUACAUUCGAGACGGUGACCGCAGUCUCCGGUGACACAAGAGAACUUGCCGUUGUAGUGGGAGCAGCCGGUUCGGCCCCAUAUGCGACCGGACCAGUGGGUAGAUGGUGGGAGAAAGGAGCGGUGGGUGUUGGUUGGGAGAGCGAAGCCACCUUUUUCAAGGACGGGGUGGCCAGCGUUGGGCUGAAUGGCUGGCCAGACGGUGAAGGGACAGUGGUUGACGACGGUGAGGAAGAGACGGCCGGUGUCUGCGGAAGUAGCGGAGGAGAUGAGGAGUAGGAGGAAGGAAGCGGCGAGAGGAAGAGAGGUUUUAGCCAUUUGUGUUUUUUUUUUGUUUUUGGUAUUCUGUAGCUGUAGGUGAACGUGACUUUGCAACGGGUAUAUAUAUGUAUAGAGCUGUGCAUAAGAUUAUGUUCGUAGAGUGACGAAAAUACCCUUUGAGAUAUUUGUGGUAAUCAGGCGAAGUAUUUGGUAUGUGCAUUUUACGAAGAUGAAGGGCUGCAAAGUUUGAUGGGGAAUUAGUAAUUAUUGAUUUUCUCAAGAAUUCAGUAACAUCUCUGAUCAUAUACUGGCUUUUUAACUUUUAAGUUCAUAUUUAAUAUUUAAAGCAUUUGGUCUUAUAAAGAUACUCCUGUUUUCUAUUAUAAGUAGUUUAAAGAAAAAUAGUUUGUUUCAAAAUAUAAGUUGUUUUCGCAUUUUAAUGCAUUUUUUGUUCUUAUUAAAUAUUGUUUAACUAAUAAAAUAAUACAUAUUUUUUUUUAUGAUUGAUUAAAUUUAUAUAUUAAAUGAUACUUUUUGAAAAGUAACAACUUUUUUAAUAUUGAUGUUUUUAAUUAAAACUACCUACAAUUUAAAAACAAAGAGAGUAUCUUUGUAGCCCUUCAUCUCAUAAAUAUUAUGUAACUAAUAAAAUAAUACAUAUUUUUUUAUGAAAAAAUAGUAUAAUAUGGUAAUUGUUUUGUAUACAAUAUUUUAUUUAAGUUAUAAGACUAUCUCUAAUGGUUUAUUCUAUUUUAGAAUAGUUUUCACUAUAAAAUAGAGUAACUCUAAAAUAGAGUAAUGUUUCUCUCUAAUGGUUUAUUCUAUAUUUGACUCUAUUUUUUUUUAAAAAAUAUACAUUUUCUAAUUUAUGACUAAUACCUUUAAAUUAAAAAUUUUACAAUUUGAUCUCUUAUAUUUUAUUUUUCAUAAAGUUUUCAUAAAUUAUAUAUUUAUAUCAAACAUUUAUUAUAUUAAAAAUUAUAUUACAUUAUAUUAAAAACAUAAUACAUUUUAACUUAAACAUCACCAUUAGUGUAUCUUUUCCAUAAAUGACCAGUUAACAAAUUUCGAAUACGAAAUGAGAUUCUUUAUCUUUAAUUUUUCUAAAUCGAUCAAGAAACUAUUCAAACCGAAUAUCAUUUGGAUAAUAUUUUACAAUUUUUGUGGAUAUGGGGGAAAUUUACCAGAAAAUUAAAUCAGUAUUAUCUAUAAUUUUAAUUUUAUGUUAUGUUGCUUAUUUUCAAUUUUAUCUUAUAAAAUUAUUUUUAAUUUAGUGCUUGUUUUCUUUGGCUAAUAAAAUAAGUUUCCAACGUUUAUAUAUAUUAUUUUGAAGGUAAUGUGUUGCUUACAGAAUUAAAUUACACAAAUAAAUAGCUACAAAAUAAAAAAUUAAAGAAGAAAAAGACUAAAGUAUAAAUAAAAAAGUUUUAUUCUAUAAUAGAGUAAGAAAUAUAGUUCGUUUCAAAAAAAAAAAUAGAGUUACUCCAAAUAUAAAGUCAGAAAUAAAGUUACACUAUUUGAUAGUAAGAUAUAAAGUGGGGUUGAAGAAAGUUUUACUUUAUAAUAGAGUUUGUAGAAAAUAGAGUGAAGUUAAAUAUGUCCUAAAAACUUGUUGAAAACCCGAUAAAAGAAUGAACCUAAACAAACGGACUCAUGAUUCAACUUAUAUUGAAUUUUCUAUACUUCUAAACCUAUAACAAAUACUAUGUUCAUGCUUUGUGACAGCGAUUCAUAUCAUAUGAAAAGUUUUCUGAAUCUAGUGCAAUAAUGCUAACACUGACAAGUUUUAUGCUUUCACAUUAGAAACCGGUCGAUUAUUUGACAAACACAUGUAAACGACAAAACAACAAAACAACAACACAACAAACCAAGAGGUCUUUUUGUCUGCUUGUGCAACUUCGAGAAUUUGAAAAAUCGUGCAACCUUUUGUUGGUCUUCAGUAGCCCAAUCCUAAACUUCAUACUUCAUACUUCAUACUUCAUACUUCAUACUUCAUACCUCUCUAGUUAUUUACCUAAUUGAUGUCCAAUUCAAAACUUUUCAAGGAUGUGAUUGUUCCGUUCAUUCACAGAACUGCUUGCUAAUGCUAGAGUACGAUAAAAUAAGCUACUACUAAUACUUGAUUCCCAUUUCCCAGUAUGAUGCCUAGAUUACAAAAGCUAAUGGUUACGCUUACUGAUAGAUAUUAGAUCUAUGAUAUUGCCUUUCAGAUUCACUCAUUAAUAAAUUGUACAGGCCGAUUAUACAUUAGGAAAGCAUAUAAGUUUGGGUUUUAGAUCUUGGAAUCCGGUUCAGAUAUUAGUUUUAUCGGAUCUUUCACGCAGAGGAGCUUUGGAUCCAUUUAAGACAUAAGUGUUUCGGUUCAGUUCCAGAUGGAUUCGUAUAAUUUUGAGUCGGUUCAGACCUCCCUUUUCAGAACCGUUUAAUCAUUUUGGGGGACUUAGUUCAGUACGGAUAUUUAUCACCGGUAAAUACAUAAAAACAAAAGAUAUCUACAACAUCUGAAGAAUUUAUUCGAAAUAGCAAAAAUAUAUAAGUAAUGCUCAAGCAUAAUUCUUAUAAUCUUCCGGAUUCAGAUACCUAAUAAGAUCCACAGGCCUCAAUGAAAAAUACUGAGUGUACAUAUCCAAACUUGAUCCGAACUGACUUUCCCCUAUUGGUUACCCAUGCCUAAAAAGCAUGUAUCAAAUUCACAAAUAUUACACAAGCUAACAACAAAAUUUAAGUGGACAUUUUGAAAGUCAUAGUACAGACACAUCUAGGUUGUUAAUACAGACAAGAUGAAUCACAUAAGAAAUACAAAUCAAUAUACUUUUGAUCAACGGCUGCAUUUAACUUUAGAAUGACCUUUUGCCCUGAUUUUACAAACGUUUAGGUAUUGCCGGACUUGGUAUAUGCAAAAUAUAUCAAAGAUCAAACUAAAGGACAGAUUCCAACCUCCCUCUCUCUCUCCUCACAAUUGUCUUUGUUUUGUUUAGGUUUCUAUACAGCGCGUUUUCGCUUCGAUCUUUUGCUUCUUCUUUGGCCAACGUCAGGCAAUGGCUUGCUUGUGCUCGAAGCUAACGCUCCUUCACGAACCUCUUCUUCCUGUUCCAUCA
rnacentral:lncRNA from 1 species